ensembl:lncRNA
UCCUCUUUUUUAUUUUAUAUUCAGAAUGGGUCGCUUCCUGCCACUUCAUGGUUUCGACCCAGCCGUAUGACGCAUCACUUCCAGAUGAAGGAGACCUGCUGGUUCUUCUGCAGCUGAUAACGAUAAUAGUUAAGAUGAUAACAAUAAUAACCAACUUUCCAUGUCACUCUUCCCGCUUACGUGCAGAGAUUAUCAGCAGCGCCGACACGCUGCAGUGGAGAUGCCAUGGUGUCUGUGACGCGCCUGCGCGCGCACGCGUCUCUCUCUCUCUCUCUCUCUCUCUCUCACUCACUCACACAACACACUCUUCUCUCUCUUACACGCACACAACACUCAUCAUGCGUCUCUCUCGCUCUUUCUCGCUCUCUCUCUCUUACACUCACUCAUUCACUCAUUCACUCUCACACACACACACACACACACACACACAGAUGAGAAAGAGGAAGAGUGAGCUAUUCUGUGUGUGCGAGCGCUUGUGUGCAUUUGUGUGCUUUAGGUUGAAAGCUUAAUCUUGCCCUCUACCUUCUAUUUCCCGAUUUGAAGAAUACCUCAGGAUUAUGCUCAAUUCAACCGCUAAACCUGUUUCCACUUUGUACUUUGAAGAUUUUCAAACCGAAAUGCCAUUAGACCACAAUUACACAGGGGCAGACAUGGCCCAGCGAGCAUCCGCUGUGCCAGAGGACGUGACGUUUCAGAUCUGCUGCAGUGGGUGGUGGCUGAAUGGACCCUCAGUGGGGGAUUCAGAAUAAUAACAAACGGAAGGAAAGUGACAUUUGUUGACAUGAUAAUUUUGUUAUUUUCUGAGCUAGCUACAAGACAGACUUUGAAUAGAAUACCCAUAAACAUGAUGUAUAUUUAAAUGUAUACAUUGCUUGUUCUGUAUGUCCACUUGGAUAAAAACAACUGUUAAAUAAACAGAUGUUAUAUGAAUGGAAACACCUGCUGACGUGGCUGCUGUUUGUUUUGGUUAAAAUCAAAGUGCAGAGUGUAUUGAGAACCUGCAUGAUGGCACAGUCUAUGAUUCAAUCCCGUCCCUCAAGGGA